GUAAGGAAUCUUCCGCAAUGGGCGAAAGCCUGACGGAGCAACACCGCGUGGUUGAUGAAGCCCUUCGGGGUGUAAAGACCUUUUCUGGGGGAAGAAUUCUGACGGUACCCUAGGAAUAAGCACCGGCUAACUCCGUGCCAGCAGCCGCGGUAAUACGGAGGGUGCAAGCGUUACCCGGAAUCAUUGGGCGUAAAGCGUCCACAGGUGGUUUGUUAAGUUGGGUGUUAAAUUUUGCAGCUCAACUGCAAAAAUGUGCUCAAAACUGGCAAACUAGAGUUCUGCAGAGGUAUGUGGAAUUCUGUGUGUAGGGGUAAAAUCCGUAGAUACACAGAGGAACACCAAAAGCGAAGGCAGCAUACUAGGCAGAUACUGACACUCAAGGACGAAAGCGUGGGGAGCGAACGGGAUUAGAAACCCUGGUAGUCC
rnacentral:rRNA from 1 species